rnacentral:rRNA from 1 species
UGGCGGACGGGUGAGUAACGCGUGGGUAACCUGCCUCACACUGGGGGACAACAGUUAGAAAUGACUGCUAAUACCGCAUAAGCGCACAGGACCGCAUGGUCUAGUGUGAAAAACUCCGGUGGUGUGAGAUGGACCCGCGUUUGAUUAGCUAGUUGGUGGGGUAACGGCCUACCAAGGCGACGAUCAAUAGCCGACCUGAGAGGGUGACCGGCCACAUUGGGACUGGGACACGGCCCAA